rnacentral:rRNA from 1 species
AUGCGUGGUCGGGCGCCGCGUCGAUGUUGCCGCUGCUCGGCGCCGCCGUCGCCGACUCGUGGCUCGGCCGGUACCGCACCAUCGUCGCCUCCUUCGUUAUCUACAUCACGUGGCACAAAAGGCGAGCUACCUUGGCGUGCAGAAGAGGCCCCCCUCCCUUGCCUUGUGCCCGGCGACCAACAACUGCGUGUCGACGUCCGAGAGGAUAAGCAAUUCCAAUCACUACGCUCCCCCAUGAAGAAGAAAGGUAAAUUUCAGCAUUCUAGCUUUCUUGCUGGGGGAGCUACAUCUGCUGCUAGGAAACUGGUUGCUCAAAAUGGGACUCUGAAGGUAUGCAAUUCUUAUCUGCAAACAGCUCUUACACCAGUUUUAUCAGGCAACAUGCUGACACAACCUGAACUUUAUUGUUGGCAGGCUAUUUGGCCUCACAGUGGCCACUAUCGCCCCACAGAGGAGAACUUCCAGGAGUUUAAAAGCUUCCUCAAUGACAGCUUGGUUGAUCUCACUGAUGCACCUGAAGAAACUGGCUCUCUUCAGACAACUCAAGUCAUUCAAACAACAUCUACAGAGACAGAAAAACGUGAGGAACCAGUGGUGGCGCGCGAGAAGAUCCUUCAGAGGAGAUGGUGGUAG